AUUGAACGCUGGCGGCAUGCCUUACACAUGCAAGUCGAACGGUAACGCGGGGCAACCUGGCGACGAGUGGCGAACGGGUGAGUAAUGCAUCGGAACGUGCCCAGUAGUGGGGGAUAGCCCGGCGAAAGCCGGAUUAAUACCGCAUACGACCUCAGGGUGAAAGGGGGGGAUGGCAAGACCUCUUGCUAUUGGAGCGGCCGAUGUCAGAUUAGGUAGUUGGUGGGGUAAAGGCCUACCAAGCCGACGAUCUGUAGCUGGUCUGAGAGGACGACCAGCCACACUGGGACUGAGACACGGCCCAGACUCCUACGGGAGGCAGCAGUGGGGAAUUUUGGACAAUGGACGCAAGUCUGAUCCAGCCAUGCCGCGUGCGGGAAGAAGGCCUUCGGGUUGUAAACCGCUUUUGUCAGGGAAGAAAUCUUCUGGGUUAAUACCUCGGGAGGAUGACGGUACCUGAAGAAUAAGCACCGGCUAACUACGUGCCAGCCGCCGCGGUAA
rnacentral:rRNA from 1 species